rnacentral:rRNA from 1 species
AUGAACGCUGGCGGCGUGCCUAAUCCCUGCAAGUCGAGCGAACAGACGAGGAGCUUGCUCCUCUGACGUUAGCGGCGGACGGGUGAGUAACACGUGGAUAACCUACCUAUAAGACUGGGAUAACUUCGGGAAACCGGAGCUAAUACCGGAUAAUAUAUUGAACCGCAUGGUUCAAUAGUGAAAGACGGUUUUGCUGUCACUUAUAGAUGGAUCCGCGCCGCAUUAGCUAGUUGGUAAGGUAACAGCUUACCAAGGCAACGAUGCGUAGCCGACCUGAGAGGGUGAUCGGCCACACUGGAACUGAGACACGGUCCAGACUCCUACGGGAGGCAGCAGUAGGGAAUCUUCCGCAAUGGGCGAAAGCCUGACGGAGCAACGCCGCGUGAGUGAUGAAGGUCUUCGGAUCGUAAAACUCUGUUAUUAGGGAAGAACAAAUGUGUAAGUAACUAUGCACGUCUUGACGGUACCUAAUCAGAAAGCCACGGCUAACUACGUG